rnacentral:rRNA from 1 species
GAUGAACGCUGGCGGCGUGCCUAAUACAUGCAAGUCGAGCGAACGGACGAGAAGCUUGCUUCUCUGAUGUUAGCGGCGGACGGGUGAGUAACACGUGGAUAACCUACCUAUAAGACUGGGAUAACUUCGGGAAACGGGACCAAAAACGGGAUAAUAUUUUAAACCGAUGGUUUAAAAAGGAAAGGCGGGCUUGCUUGUAAUUAAUAAAUGAACCGCGCUGCAUUAGCUAAUUGGUAAGGUAACGGCUUACCAAGGCAACGAUGCAUAGCCGACCUGAGAGGGUGAUCGGCCACACUGGAACUGAGACACGGUCCAGACUCCUACGGGAGGCAGCAGUAGGGAAUCUUCCGCAAUGGGCGAAAGCCUGACGGAGCAACGCCGCGUGAGUGAUGAAGGUCUUCGGAUCGUAAAACUCUGUUAUUAGGGAAGAACAUAUGUGUAAGUAACUGUGCACAUCUUGACGGUACCUAAUCAGAAAGCCACGGCUAACUACGUG